AGAGAGGUGUCCGAGUGGCUGAAGGAGCACGCCUGGAAAGUGUGUAUACCCUUAAAGGUAUCGAGGGUUCGAAUCCCUCUCUCUCUG
rnacentral:tRNA from 1 species